rnacentral:rRNA from 1 species
GACGAACGCUGGUGGCGUGCUUAACACAUGCAAGUCGAACGGGAUUUAGUAAACAGAAGUCUCGGUGGAAGAUUACUAAUGAGAGUGGCGGACGGGUGAGUAACGCGUGAGCAACCUGCCUAUGACAGCGGGAGAGCCUCGGGAAACCGGGAUUAAUACGGCAUAAAAUCGUAGAAACACAUGGUUGAACGUGCAAAGAUUUGUCGGUCAUAGAUGGGCUCGCGUCUGAUUAGCUAGUUGGUGAGAUAAUAGCCCACCAAGGCGACGAGCAGUAGCCGGUCUGAGAGGAUGAACGGCCACAUUGGAACUGAGACCAGGUCCCAACUCGUACGGGAGGCAGCAGUGGGGACUAUUGCACAAUGGGGGAAACCCUGAUGCAGCGACGCCGCGUGAACGAAGAAGGUAUUCGUAUCGUAAAGUUCUGUCCUAUGGGAAGAUAAUGACAGUACCAUAGAAGAAAGCUCCGGCUAAAUACGUA